CGGCCGCGUCGACGUGAGUAACGCGUAAGCAAUCUACCUUCAAGAUGGGGACAACACUUCGAAAGGGGUGCUAAUACCGAAUGAAUGUAAGAGUAUCGCAUGAGACACUUACUAAAGGAGGCCUCUGAAUAUGCUUCCGCUUGAAGAUGAGCUUGCGUCUGAUUAGCUAGUUGGCAGGGUAACGGCCUACCAAGGCGACGAUCUGUAGCCGACCUGAGAGGGUGACCGGCCACAUUGGGACUGAGACACGGCCCAAACUCCUACGGGAGGCAGCAGUGGGGAAUAUUGCACAAUGGGGGAAACCCUGAUGCAGCGACGCCGCGUGAGCGAAGAAGUAUUUCGGUAUGUAAAGCUCUAUCAGCAGGGAAGAUAAUGACGGUACCUGACUAAGAAGCUCCGGCUAAAUACGUGCCAGCAGCCGCGGUAAUACGUAUGGAGCAAGCGUUAUCCGGAUUUACUGGGUGUAAAGGGAGCGUAGACGGUU
rnacentral:rRNA from 1 species